GAAAGCCUGACGGAGCAAGACCGCGUGGGGGAAGAAGGCUCUUGGGUUGUAAACUCCUUUUCUCUGGGAAGAACAAAAUGACGGUACCAGAGGAAUCAGCAUCGGCUAACUCCGUGCCAGCAGCCGCGGUAAGACGGAGGAUGCAAGCGUUAUCCGGAAUGAUUGGGCGUAAAGCGUCCGCAGGUGGCAGUUCAAGUCUGCUGUCAAAGACCGGGGCUCAACCUCGGAAAGGCAGUGGAAACUGAACAGCUAGAGUAUGGUAGGGGCAAAGGGAAUUCCUGGUGUAGCGGUGAAAUGCGUAGAGAUCAGGAAGAACAUCGGUGGCGAAGGCGCUUUGCUGGACCAUAACUGACACUCAGGGACGAAAGCUAGGGGAGCGAAUGGGAUUAGAUACCCCAGUAGUCA
rnacentral:rRNA from 1 species